CAUGUAAGGGUUGCAUAUUAUUGAUUAUUUUACUUUGUAUUCUUUAGACUCACGGAAAACACUAAUUUAUGGUAGAAUAUUAAUUUCUCAUAAAUAAUAUUAUUUUAAACGAUUCAAAACUAAUAGAAAAGCUCAGACUUGCCUUUAUCUAGUCGACAUUUGAUUCCUUUGGUUUACUAUCGCCAAUGGCAAUUUCCAAGGAUCCAUGCGGAUUACCAGAUUUAUCUUCAUCGCUUUUUAAAAUGUUAAAUAUGAACUUAAUAUAAUUCAGAUGAAAAGGUUUAAUCCAAUAAUAUUAUAUGAAUUGAGAAUAACUGGUUGGACUUAGUUAAUAGUUAAAAGACCAUCUUAGCAAAUGGGGAAGAGAAAAUGGCUAAGAGUUAAGCAUUGAAUAAAUACAUUAUUUACUUUGAUUUCUAUAAAACAAGCUGAUAUUCAUCAUAGCCUCAAAUUACUUAUUAUUUUAAGUAUGGUGUGGUAAAGGAAUUGAGUCGCGCGCGUUUAUUUCUAUUUCUACUACACACCAACAACGAAGUUUACCUAUCGCCCCUUGAUUAAACUAGUGGACUUGCAAAC